CCCAGGCCCUGGCUCACACCUGAGGGCAGAGCCCAAAGCCAGGAUAAAAGGGGCUCGGGGCCAGAGCACCUCCAUCCACUCGCCUCCUGAGGUGCUGACAGAUCCUGUGCUGCGUGUGUACAGCUCCUGAACCCCGCCCACCAAGAUGUCCUGCCAGCAGAACCAGCAGCAGUGCCAGCCCCCUCCCAAGUGCCCCCCCAAGUGCCCCGUCCCUAAGUGCCCCCCCAAGUGCCCCCCCAAGUGCCCUCCAGUCUCUUCCUGCUGCAGUGUGAGCUCUGGCGGCUGCUGUGGCUCCAGUUCUGGGGGAGGGGGCUGCUGCAGCUCUGGGCAUGGGGGCUGCUGCCUGAGCCACCACAGGCGCCGCAGGUCCCACCGCAGACACCAGAGCUCUGACUGCUGCAGCCAGCCCUCGGGGGGCUCAGGGUGCUGCGGAGGAGGAAGUGGCCAGUCCUCUGGAGGUGACUGCUGCUGCUGAAGCGGACCCGGAACCAAGAAGAGCUGACCUGGGGGCAGCAAAUGGCCAGAAACCUCCUCCUCCUGCUCCUCCUGCUGGGCCUGCCCAUGUUGCUGGGGGUGUGGGUGAGGCCUUUGGAACCCUGUGUCCUGGGGUCUAGGAGCCCAGAACCUCUCCCCCAAACCCAUCAAUUGCCCUCUUCCCCAUAUGUGUGGCUGCCCUAGGAACCCCAAAGCACACACCCCUUGUCCCUGCAGCUUCUUUUUUGGCCCGAACCAGCCUGGUGUGAAACAAUAAAACUAGAAAUCUGCA